rnacentral:pre_miRNA from 1 species
UCUUCAUUUCACCUACUCUCUCACCGGUCAGAGAGGCGAGAGAGUGUGCAGAAUGAAGAGA